rnacentral:rRNA from 1 species
AUUGAACGCUGGCGGCAUGCCUUACACAUGCAAGUCGAACGGCAGCACGGGAGCAAUCCUGGUGGCGAGUGGCGAACGGGUGAGUAAAGUAUCGGAACGUGCCCAGUCGUGGGGGAUAACGUAGCGAAAGUUACGCUAAUACCGCAUACGAUCUAUGGAUGAAAGCGGGGGAUCGCAAGACCGCGCGCGAUUGGAGCGGCCGAAAUCAGAUUAGGUAGUUGGUGGGGGAAAGGCCCACCAAGCCGACGAGCUGUAGCUGGUCUGAGAGGACGACCAGCCACACUGGGACUGAGACACGGCCCAGACUCCUACGGGAGGCAGCAGUGGAGAAUUUUGGACAAUGGGCGAAAGCCUGAUCCAGCCAUGCCGCGUGCAGGAUGAAGGCCUUCGGGUUGUAAACUGCUUUUGUACGGAACGAAAAGGUUUGGCCUAAUAAGCUGAGCUCAUGACGGUACCGUAAGAAUAAGCACCGGCUAACUACGUGCCAGCAGCCGCGGUAA